GUGUGCUCCUCUGAUCUGAGAUAUGGCUAAGCAGGUGUCACUUGUGGGUGAUGCUGCAAUAGACUCAUAAACCUA